UCCCUGGUGGCUCAGAUGGUAAAGCGUCUGCCUGCAAUGCAGAAGACCCGGGUUCGAUCCCUGGGUCGGGAA
rnacentral:tRNA from 1 species